rnacentral:miRNA from 1 species
AACUCUGAAUAACAUUUUGUUUUGAUUUAUUGAAUCAAUAAAUCAAAACAAAAUGUUAUUCAGAGUC